rnacentral:tRNA from 1 species
GAAGAAGUUUAAGUUAACUAUAAACCCAGAGCCUUCAAAGCCCUAAAUAGGGACAUACCCUAACUUCUG